GCCCUCUGUUUAUUUCUCACAGUGUGCUAGAAACCAAGACAUAUCUGAAUGAUGACACAAUAUUCAUUAAGGUCAAAGUAGACUCAACUAACAUACCAGUUCCCUAGAGUAUUAGAGAGCUCUAAAAAAGCAUCAGUGGGUUUUUUUCUUUCAGGGAUACAGUACAAUGUAUUGUGUCUUGUGUGUACACUAGCUGUACACUUUUCUAAAAUUUGUUGACAUUUAUUACAUGUAUAUGUACAUAAUUUUUCUUUAAAUAUUACCCCAAAAUAUUAUUUAUAUCUUUACAGAGCUUACCUCCGACAUUAAGGAUUUGUCAAAAAGAUGACCAUAAUCAUACCCUUUACACAAGAGUUAGGCCUAUAUACAUUGUAUUUAUCUCAAAAUGGAGAGUUGAUUUACCAGUUUCAUAACUCUGUCCAAAAAAAAUUAGUUGAUGGAGAAGUCUUCUUAUAUUACCAAUGGAUAUUGCAAUAAAAGUGUUUAAGGUUUGUUUAACUCCUAACAAUCUAAAUGACCCUACAACAUUUUUCAAAUACUGUAAAAUGCUGUAAAAAUUGAUGUAAAUAUGAAUUGAAAUAUGCUUUCUAGCUUGUACAUAUUUAUAAUUUUUUUUCUUUCAGUUUUCUGACUUGAAGUGGAAAGGGUGUUUUAAAUUUGAUAAAGACUAAAUACC
rnacentral:misc_RNA from 1 species